AUUGAACGCUGGCGGAAUGCUUUACACAUGCAAGUCGAACGGCGGCACGGACUUCGGUCUGGUGGCGAGUGGCGAACGGGUGAGUAAUGUAUCGGAACGUGCCUAGUCGUGGGGGAUAACGUAGUGAAAAUUACGCUAAUACCCCAUACGAUCUAUGGAUGAAAGCGGGGGAUCGCAAGACCUCGCGCGAUUGGAGCGGCCGAUAUCAGGUUAGGUAGUUGGUGGGGUAAAGGCCCACCAAGCCAACGAUCUGUAGCUGGUCUGGGAGGACGACCAGGCACACUGGAACUGAGACACGGUCCAGACUCCUACGGGAGGCAGCAGUGGGGAAUUUUGGACAAUGGGCGAAAGCCUGAUCCAGCCAUUCCGCGUGCAGGAUGAAGGCCCUCGGGUUGUAACUGCUUUUGUACAGAACGAAAAGGUUUCUACUAAUACUAGGAGCUCAUGACGGUACUGUAAGAAUAAGCACCGGCUAACUACGUGCCAGCCGCCGCAGUAA
rnacentral:rRNA from 1 species